rnacentral:rRNA from 1 species
CGUAACCGGGCUGAAGUCGUACCGUAAGGAGCGGUGGACUGGUUACGAGUGAGAAUGUUGGCAUCAGUAGCGAGAUGUGGGUGAGAAUCCCACAGGCCGAAAACCUAAGGUUUCCUCAGGAAGGUUCGUCCGCUGAGGGUUAGUCGGGACCUAAGCCGAGGCCGAAAGGCGUAGGUGAUGGACAACUGGUUGAUAUUCCAGUACCACUACCAUCGUUAUUAUCGAUGGCGUGACGCAGGAGGAUAGUGUGUGCUAGCUAUUGGAUGCUAGUCUAAGCGUUUAGGCAGUGAGAGUAGGCAAAUCCGCUCUCAUAAUGCUGAGGCGUGAUGGGGAAGGUUCUACGGAACCGAAGUACAUGAUUCCACGCUGCCAAGAAAAGCGUCUAGAGAGAGAAGUAGUGCCCGUACCGCAAACCGACACAGGUAGGUGAGGAGAGAAUCCUAAGGCCGGCGGAAGAAUUACAGUUAAGGAACUCGGCAAAUUGACCCCGUAAGUUCGCGAGAAGGGGUGCCUACGAGAGUAGGCCGCAGAGAAUAGGCCCAAGCAACUGUUUAGCAAAAACACAGGUCUCUGCUAAAGCGUAAGCUGAUGUAUAGGGGCUGACGCCUGCCCGGUGCUGGAAGGUUAAGGGGAACACUUAGCGCAAGCGAAGGUGUGAACUUAAGCCCCAGUAAACGGCGGCCGUAACUAUAACGGUCCUAAGGUAGCGAAAUUCCUUGUCAGGUAAGUUCUGACCCGCACGAAUGGCGUAAUGACUUGGGCACUGUCUCAACUGUAAAUCCGGCGAAGUUGUAGUGCGAGUGAAGAUGCUCGCUACCCGCGAUUGGACGGAAAGACCCCGUAGAGCUUUACUGUAGCUUAGCAUUGAGUUUUGGUAUUGUCUGUACAGGAUAGGUGGGAGACUAGGAAACCAGGGCGUCAGCCUUGGUGGAGUCAACCUUGGGAUACCACCCUGACAGUACUGAAAUUCUAACUGGCGGCCAUGAAUCUGGUCACAGGACAUUGUUAGGUGGGCAGUUUGACUGGGGCGGUCGCCUCCUAAAAAGUAACGGAGGCGCCCAAAGGUUCCCUCAGAACGGUCGGAAAUCGUUCGAAGAGUGCAAAGGCAGAAGGGAGCCUGACUGCGACACCCACAAGUGGAGCAGGGACGAAAGUCGGGCUUAGUGAUCCGGUGGUACCUCGUGGGAGGGCCAUCGCUCAACGGAUAAAAGCUACCUCGGGGAUAACAGGCUGAUCUCCCCCAAGAGUCCACAUCGACGGGGAGGUUUGGCACCUCGAUGUCGGCUCGUCGCAUCCUGGGGCUGAAGUAGGUCCCAAGGGUUGGGCUGUUCGCCCAUUAAAGCGGCACGCGAGCUGGGUUCAGAACGUCGUGAGACAGUUCGGUCCCUAUCCGUCGCGGGCGUAGGAAAUUUGAGAGGAGCUGUCCUUAGUACGAGAGGACCGGGAUGGACUGACCUCUGGUGUACCAGUUGUUCCGCCAGGAGCACAGCUGGGUAGCUAAGUCGGGAAUGGAUAAACGCUGAAAGCAUCUAAGCGUGAAGCCAACCUCAAGAUGAGAUUUCCCAUAGCGUAAGCUAGUAAGAUCCCUUG